GAUGAACGCUAGCGGCAGGCCUAAUACAUGCAAGUCGAGGGGUAGAGAAGAGCUUGCUUUUCUUGAGACCGGCGCACGGGUGCGUAACGCGUAUGCAACCUACCUUUAUCAGGGGGAUAGCCUCUCGAAAGAGAGAUUAACACCGCAUAAAAACACAGUACGGCAUCGUACAAUGUUCAAAUAUUUAUAGGAUAAAGAUGGGCAUGGGUGACAUUAGCUGGUUGGUGAGGUAAGGGCUCACCAAGGCGACGAUGUCUAGGGGAUCGGAGAGGAUGACCCCCAACACGGGUACUGAGACACGAACCAGACUCCUACGGGAGGCAGCAGUAAGGAAUAUUGGUCAAUGGGGGCAACCCUGAACCAGCCAUGCCGCGUGCAGGAAGACGGCCCUACGGGUUGUAAACUGCUUUUAUACGGAAAUAAACCCCUUUACGUGUAAAGGGUUGAAUGUACUGUAAGAAUAAGGAUCGGCUAACUCCGUGCCAGCAGCCGCCGUAAUAC
rnacentral:rRNA from 1 species